rnacentral:snRNA from 1 species
GUGCUCACUUCGGCUGCUCAUAUACUAAUAAGAUUGGAAAGAUAGGGGGAAGAUUAGCAUGGGCCCUGCACAAGGAUGACAUGCAAAUUCAUGAAGCGUUCCAUAUUUUU